UACGUAGGGUGCAAGCGUUAAUCGGAAUUACUGGGCGUAAAGCGUGCGCAGGCGGUGAUGUAAGACAGAUGGGAAAUCCCCGGGCUCAACCUGGGAACUGCAUUUGUGACUGCAUCGCUAGAGUACGGCAGAGGGGGAUGGAAUUCCGCGUGUAGCAGUGAAAUGCGUAGAUAUGCGGAGGAACACCGAUGGCGAAGGCAAUCCCCUGGGCCUGUACUGACGCUCAUGCACGAAAGCGUGGGGAGCAAACAGG
rnacentral:rRNA from 1 species